GUCGUAACAAGGUUUCCGUAGGUGAACCUGCGGAAGGAUCAUUACCACACACUAAUGGACGGGGUGCUGCUUAUACUUGACUUACUUGUGCAGCAGUUGCCCUUAGGCCCAACACCGGUUGACUGUUCUACCCCCCAUAGCGCCUUGACAGCUGCGCUGGCUCGUAUGGCCGAAGUCGCUGUUGCCUUUUUUUUAACCCAACACUAACACAGAACCUCUGAAACAUAAGAGGCGCUCGGCGGUCUCACAGACUGCUGGCCCUCACACCUAGUUGUAAUACUGUACAACUUUCAGCAACGGAUAUCUUGGCUCCCA
rnacentral:misc_RNA from 1 species